rnacentral:rRNA from 1 species
UCGCUACGAGGGAGUGGACCAUUUACUGAAGUCUGUUUUACCGAUAUCACUUCGGAAAUUAGCCUAAAGUUGAUGGUCUCGACCACGUAAAAGUCGUAACAAGGUUU